GGAGAAAAGCAGGGGAUCGCAAGACCUUGCGCUCAUUGAGCGGCCGAUGCCUGAUUAGCUAGUUGGUGAGGUAAAGGCUUACCAAGGCGACGAUCAGUAGCUGGUCUGAGAGGACGACCAGCCACACUGGGACUGAGACACGGCCCAGACUCCUACGGGAGGCAGCAGUGGGGAAUUUUGGACAAUGGGGGAAACCCUGAUCCAGCCAUGCCGCGUGAGUGAAGAAGGCCUUCGGGUUGUAAAGCUCUUUCAGCCGGAACGAAACGGUCACGGCUAAUACCUGUGACUACUGACGGUACCGGAAGAAGAAGCACCGGCUAACUACGUGCCAGCAGCCGCGGUAAUACGUAGGGUGCGAGCGUUAAUCGGAAUUACUGGGCGUAAAGCGUGCGCAGGCGGUUUUGUAAGUCAGAUGAGGAAUCCCCGGGCUUAACCUGAGAACUGCGUUGAUAUUAACGAGGCUAGAAGGGC
rnacentral:rRNA from 1 species